GUUUUAGGUGGAAGUAUUCACCUGAGAUCUGUACACAAAUACCAGAUGUAAGAAAACUACUUGGAGAAAGAUUUGAGAAGGACCUUGGUAGCUCUGAAACUAACAAGUCAACGUCAUCAUAAUACCUAAUUUGGUUUGAAAUUUGUGUUUUCUAGAUUUAGUUUCUUCCUUCCCUGUUGUGACUUUGGCUGUGGCAGCUGGUGUUGUUGCUCUCCUUCUCCUUGUGGCGCUGUGUCUUAGAGUCCUAAAACUUCAUAACCAACACAGACCAACAACUACCAAUGAGGGUAACUCUGAAGAUGAAAUUAUCUACACAGCUGUUAGAAUAAUAGAGAAUACAAGGAAAACCAGACCCAACUAACAUCAGAAUACAACAUAAUUUUCUCCUAAAACAUCAUUAAGCACCAGCCCUGUUUAGGACCCCAAAGUUUCCAUUCCUGGGAAUCUAUCCUGGAGAUAAAUAAAAUGUAAUCAGAGGUCAUUGUGUUUAUGGCUUGAAAAAAAAAAAAAAAAAAAAAAAAAGAGUCAAACUUCAGACAUAAUCAUGCUUUUUUGUGAUCUUAUUUUCUGUUAUCUGCCCUGUAUUUGAGUGACUUUGCAAGGAUUCUUUUAAAUACAUGUGUCAAAGUUUUGUGUUUUUUAGUUUGUAUUUUCUUAAAGAAAUAUAUUGACAACAUGUAAUAUUGAUGAGUUUACUUUAGGUUUACAAAUAUAUGUAAUCUGUCUUAAUUAUUUUCUAUUCUAGCAUAGCUGUUUCCUGUAAAUACUGGAUUGGUGCAUAGCACUGUUGUCACUGUUGCUUAGACCAUUGCUUUGCAGAAUAAAUGGUUGAGCUGCGAGAGGCUUGGAACUGGUUAAACUUCUGCUUUAACGCAGUGUAACAUCAUCUGGCAAUAAACUGCAUAGGGUAAAUAAAUGAAAUUUGAACAAUCAUA